rnacentral:rRNA from 1 species
UACAGAGGGGGCAAGCGUUAUUCGGAAUUAUUGGGCGUAAAGGGCUCGUAGGCGGUUUGUCACGUCGGGAGUGAAAACUCGGGGCUCAACCCCGAGCCUGCUUCCGAUACGGGCAGACUAGAGGUAUGCAGGGGAGAAUGGAAUUCCUGGUGUAGCGGUGAAAUGCGUAGAUAUCGGGAGGAACACCGGUGGCGAAGGCGGUUCUCUGGGCCUGUACUGACGCUGAGGAGCGAAAGCGUGGGGAGCGAACAGG